rnacentral:lncRNA from 1 species
GCAUGUUAAUGUAUCAGCCAACACCUCUCCUGUGCACCUAUGGCAGACAUCAUUAAUCCAUCAAGGCACUCUCCUGUUUAGCCCAGUCCCAGCUUCAGAGCUCUUCUCAGUAUUGUGACCCAGACAGCGGCUACCCAUCAACCAGACUGCCACACAGGACAGAAAGUAUUUUCCCAUUGGGCUAGUCCAUGUCCUUCAUUUUAUUAUUACAUAAUCCAUCUUGAGAAUUUAGAAGAAUAAUAUCGCCCUCGUGCCUGGCUUAUAUAGAAAAAGGGACAGCAAGAAGACAGAUAAAGUGGAGCACAGAAAGAAGGAUGAAAUGAAAAUUAUUUGUCUAUUUUAGACAAGCAAUUUUCUCUAAUGUUCUGUUCUCUUGUUUGGUUGUUCUAGUGAGAGCUCAAGGACCUUUUAAGGUGGAACGAAUCUGGGGGUUGUUCUGGGGGAGGCAGUUAGCCUUGGGUAGCUGGAAAUAUGGGUAGGAAAAGCUGGGAACAGAGCCCAGGAGGAACCAAGUGUCCAAUGCCAACACCUGG